rnacentral:rRNA from 1 species
AACGAACGCUGGCGGCGUGCUUAACACAUGCAAGUCGAACGCGAAAGGGACUUCGGUCCUGAGUAAAGUAGGCGCACGGGUGAGUAACGCGUAGAUAACCUGUCUUCAUGUCUGGAAUAAUACGCCAAAGGGGUACUAAUACCGGAUAUUCUUGCUUUUCAUAAGUUAUGCAAGCAAAGGUGGCCGUCUGCAUAUGCUACUGCAUGAAGAGGGGUCUGCGUACCAUUAGCUAGUAGGUGGGGUAAUGGCCUACCUAGGCGACGAUGGUUAGCGGGUCUGAGAGGAUGAUCCGCCACACUGGCACUGGAACACGGGCCAGACUCCUACGGGAGGCAGCAGUGAGGAAUAUUGCGCAAUGGGGGAAACCCUGACGCAGCGACGCCGCGUGAGUGAGGAAGGCCUUCGGGUCGUAAAGCUCUGUCAAGAGGAAAGAAGUGUACAAUGGCUAAUACCUGUUGUAUUUGACGGUACCUCUAAAGGAAGCACCGGCUAACUCCGUGCCAGCCGCCGC